UACAGAGGGUGCAAGCGUUGUUCGGAAUUAUUGGGCGUAAAGCGCGUGUAAGCGGCUUUGCAAGUCGGGUGUGAAAGCCCUCGGCUCAACCGAGGAAGUGCGCCCGAAACUGCAGAGCUUGAGUACCGGAGAGGAUGGCGGAAUUCCCCAAGUAGAGGUGAAAUUCGUAGAUAUCUGGAGGAACACCGGUGGCGAAGGCGGCAUCCUGGACCGGCAUUGACGCUGAGGCGCGAAAGCCAGGGGAGCAAACGGG
rnacentral:rRNA from 1 species